CGCACUUCGGAAAAGCUCAGCGGAGGAGUGGACGGUCGUUCUUGAACUUCGGCAGAUGUGAAGUUUUAACCCCCUCUUCCUGCUGGGCCAGGUACGUGAUAUCAGAUGUGAGAGUCUGCUCAGGGCACGCUUCCUCAUCUUACCAGGAUGGCACAGAAGAACUUCUUCUCCCUGAACGGGUUCUCUGACGCUGGCACAGGCGAUAGCAGUGGGUCCUCUUUGGCAUGGGCUUCGCAGUACGACAUCAAGUCUGCCGCUGCUUUUGAGACCUGAUACUCCUCCGUCUUUUCUAACCUCUUUGAUUAAAUGGAUCAAGCUGUGGGCACCCUGAAACAGCGUCAUCCUUGCUGCGUGAUCAAUCUUCCCUGCGCCUCCCCUCCGUCAUCCGUCUGUUUGCGCUGCGGUGUGACUCAGUGUGGGGUUAAGACUGAUCUCAGCAAGACCCUGACACUGAACGUCCUGAAUGUUGUUUAAAGCCUGCACAGCCUCACAGGUCUGAAACAUUUCCUCUGAACAGCCCUGGAAAAUCUCAACUCGCUGUCAGAUCAAGUGACAAUCUGAAGAGGAUGUACGAGCUUAACCUGCAGCAGAGCUCGCAGUAUUAACAGUGUCACAUAAACAUCAUGUUUUACAGCCAACGCAGCUGAGGGAUACUGGAUUUUCUCACUCUGAGGAAUACUUCACCUUUUAGGGUCAUGUUUUUGAUGAAACUCAGGAGGCUGUCAAAAAAAUAAAACCUAGUAUGUUGGUAUUUGCA